AAAAAUAAAAGGAAGAAAAUUGAGGGGAAAGGAAGAAAAAAGAUGGAAAAGAGAAUGAAGAAAAGGGGAAGACAGGUGAGAAGAAAAUAAAAAUAAAAGGAAGAAAAUUGAGGGGAAAGGAAGAAAAAAGAUGGAAAAGAGAAUGAAGAAAAAGGGGAAGACAGGUGAAAAUAAAAUAAAAUAAGGGAAAGGAAGAAAAUCGAGGAGAAUGAAGAGAAAGGGGGAAAGUUGAGAAGAAAAUUAAAAUAAGGGAAAGGAAGAAAAUCGAGGGUAAAGGAAGAAAACAGAUGGAAAAGAAAAUGAAGAAAAGGGGGAAGACAGGUGAGAAGAAAAUUAAAAUAAGGAAAAGGAAGAAAAUCGAAGGGCAUGAAAGGGGGGAAAGGUGAGAAGACAAGAAAAAAAUAAAAGGAAGAAAAUUGAGGGGAAAGGAAGACAAAAGAUGGAAAAGAGAAUGAAGAAAAGGGGGAAGACAGGUGAGAAGAAAAGAGAAAUAAAAGGAAGAAAAUUGAGGGGAAAGGAAGACAAAAGAUGGAAAAGAGAAUGAAGAAAAGGGGGAAGACAGGUCAGAAGAAAAGAGGAAUAAAAGAAAGAAAAUUGAGGGGAAAGGAAGACAAAAGAUGGAAAAGAGAAUGAAGAAAAGGGGGAAGACAGGUGAGAAGAAAAGA